ensembl:lncRNA
UAUAUAUAUAUAUAUGCAGGAUUGUGGGUGAAUCUCCCAACAGCAACAGGUUAAGGAGUAGAUCUCAUAUGCAUAGAAGGAGGAGGAGAAAAAGGCAAGAAAUCCUCCACUUCAAAUGAGACUAGGGAGAUAUGUAAAAUGUGGGAACCAGUACAAAAUUGUGUAGAAAACACCACCUGAAUAAGGCUGUAGUGUAGCAGUGUACACAAUGCAUCUGUUCAAUGACAAUGCAAUGUCACAUUUCCAUGAAAUCCUCAAAAGGAGUCAAAAGCAAGCAUCAUUGAGUAGGUUCCUUGUUAAAGUUGCAUGAAAAAGAAGAGAAGCAAUUCCAUCGAGCCAACAGACAGCAGUGAUUGUUAGUAACGGUGCAAGUCGUCCUGCACAGUGACCCUCUUCUCUCUUGUCUCUUCACACCAGCCAUGAAGGUUUUCAAAGGCCCUCUGCAUGGCUCUUCUCUGGCUGCCUAGAACAAGCGCUUCCUGUCCUCCAAAGAGCCAGCCCAGAACAUCAGGAACCUGGAUAAGAUGCCCAACCCAGUAACAAGAACAAAACUAUGAAAACCAACAAGAAUGCUCACUAACCCAGGACGAGCUGUUUGCUGAAAGAUGGAUCCUUUGCCUUGGCCUCAUCUCUUCUCAAGUUUUCCUUCACAGGACCCUCCCCUGCGCACCGUCUUGUCAGCAGCUCUGGGUGACACAAGCCAUUUCUAGGUAGCCUGGGAACUAGGGGCAGAAUCUGUGCCCUGGGAAGCUGUCUUUGGAGGCUGAGGUGGCUGCUCACACUCUCCCCGGCCCUCUGCUAGUUUACUUUUGCCACCAACCUCCAGGGAAGACCAGGGCUUUCUCCUGGGCUCCAGACUCCGGGGAAGCCACUGCCUGCACCUGGGCCUCGGGUCAACCCCUCCUGGAAGAAGACCCAUCUCAUAGCACCUGCGACCCGAAGUUCCCUAGACUCUGCCCACAAAGUCCCCAGCGGCGAGGCCACCCGGCCCUGCUGACCCCGGGCAGCGCCUCCGAGCUGCAUCUGCUCUCCGUGUUGCUGCACUCUCUGCUCUGCCAGCUCCGCCCGCAUUCAUCACCUGCUGCCCCAGCUAUCUGAAUUCAGACUUGUGCUGAAAUCCC